GGCUUAGCUCUCGUUGGUGACCAGCGGAGGGAUCAUUACAGAGUUGCAAAACUCCCUAAACCAUUGUGAACGUUACCUAAACCGUUGCUUCGGCGGGCGGCCCCGGGGUUUACCCCCCGGGCGCCCCUGGGCCCCACCGCGGGCGCCCGCCGGAGGUCACCAAACUCUUGUUAAUUUAUGGCCUCUCUGAGUCUUCUGUACUGAAUAAGUCAAAACUUUCAACAACGGAUCUCUUGGUUCUGGCAUCGAUGAAGAACGCAGCGAAAUGCGAUAAGUAAUGUGAAUUGCAGAAUUCAGUGAAUCAUCGAAUCUUUGAACGCACAUUGCGCCCGCCAGUAUUCUGGCGGGCAUGCCUGUUCGAGCGUCAUUUCAACCAUCAAGCCCCCGGGCUUGUGUUGGGGACCUGCGGCUGCCGCAGGCCCUGAAAAGCAGUGGCGGGCUCGCUGUCACACCGAGCGUAGUAGCAUACAUCUCGCUCUGGGCGUGCUGCGGGUUCCGGCCGUUAAACCACCUUUUAACCCAAGGUUGACCUCGGAUCAGGUAGGAAGACCCGCUGAACUUAAGCAUAUCAAUAAGCGGAGGAA
rnacentral:rRNA from 1 species